GGUGACCUCGAUCAGGUAGAAUCACCCGCUGAACUUAAGCAUAUCAAUAAGCGGAGGAAAAGAAACCAACAGGGAUUGCCUCAGUAACGGCGAGUGAAGCGGCAACAGCUCAAAUUUGAAAUCUGGCCUCUUUGGGGUCCGAGUUGUAAUUUGUAGAGGAUGUUUCGGGUAUCGCCUCGGUCUAAAUUUCUUGGAACAGAAUGUCAGAGAGGGUGAGAAUCCCGUCUUGGACCGGCGGUAGGGCUCAUGUGAAACUCCUUCGACGAGUCGAGU
rnacentral:rRNA from 1 species